AGUUUGGAAUCUUGCCCAAUGGGGGAAACCCUGAGGCAGCGACGCCGCGUGGAGGAUGAAGGAUCUAGGUCUGUAAACUCCUUUUAUCGGGAAAGACUUAGGACGGUACCCGAUGAAUAAGCUCCGGCUAACUACGUGCCAGCAGCCGCGGUAAGACGUAGGGAGCGAGCGUUGUCCGGAUUUACUGGGCGUAAAGGACGCGUAGGCGGUCCGUUAAGUGUGAAGUGAAAUCUCCAGGGCUCAACCCGGAAACUGCUUCGCAUACUGGCGGACUGGAGGGAUGCAGAGGUAAGUAGAAUUCCUGGUGUAGCGGUGAAAUGCGUUGAUAUCAGGAGGAAUACCGAUGGCGAAGGCAGCUUACUGGGCAUCAUCUGACGCUGAGGCGUGAAAGCGUGGGUAGCAAACAGGAUUAGAUACCCUGGUAGUCCACGCCCUAAACGAUGGAUACUAGACGUAAGAGGUAUCGACCCCUCUUGUGUCGCAGUUAACGCAUUAAGUAUCCCGCCUGGGGACUAC
rnacentral:rRNA from 1 species